rnacentral:rRNA from 1 species
GGCUCAGGAUGAACGCUGGCUGUGUGCCUAAUACAUGCAUGUCGAGCGGAGUUCUUCGGAACUUAGCGGCGAAUGGGUGAGUAACACGUACUUAACAUGCCCUCUAGAUUGGAAUAACGAUUAGAAAUGAUCGCUAAUGCCGGAUACUUAUAUUUUUCGCAUGAARAAUAUAUAAAAGGAGCGUUUGCUUCGCUAGAGGAUUGGGGUGCGUAACAUUAGCUAGUUGGUAGGGUAAUGGCCUACCAAGGCUAUGAUGUUUAGCGGGGUUGAGAGACUGAUCCGCCACACUGGGACUGAGAUACGGCCCAGACUCCUACGGGAGGCAGCAGUAGGGAAUUUUCCACAAUGGACGAAAGUCUGAUGGAGCGACACAGCGUGCAGGAUGACGGCCUUCGGGUUGUAAACUGCUGUUAUAAGGGAAGAAAAAAUAAAGUAGGAAAUGACUUUAUCUUGACGGUACCUUGUCAGAAAGCAACGGCUAACUAUGUGCCAGCAGCCGCGGUAAUACAUAGGUUGCAAGCGUUAUCCGGAAUUAUUGGGCGUAAAGCGUCUGUAGGUUGUUUGUUAAGUCUGACGUGAAAACUUGGGGCUCAACCCCAAAUUGCGUUGGAUACUGGCAAACUAGAGUUAUGAAGAGGUUAGCGGAAUUCCUUGUGAAGCGGUGAAAUGCGUAGAUAUAAGGAAGAACACCAACUUGGCGAAGGCAGCUAACUGGGCAUACACUGACACUGAGAGACGAAAGCGUGGGGAGCAAACAGGAUUAGAUACCCUGGUAGUCCACGCUGUAAACGAUGAUGAUUAGCUGAUGGGAAACUCAUCGGCACAGCUAACGCAUUAAAUCAUCCGCCUGAGUAGUAUGCUCGCAAGAGUGAAACUUAAAGGAAUUGACGGGGAUCCGCACAAGCGGUGGAGCAUGUGGUUUAAUUUGAAGAUACGCGUAGAACCUUACCCACUCUUGACAUCUUCCGCAAAGCUAUAGAGAUAUAGUGGAGGCUAACGGAAUGACAGAUGGUGCAUGGUUGUCGUCAGCUCGUGUCGUGAGAUGUUCGGUUAAGUCCUGCAACGAGCGCAACCCUUGUCCUUAGUUAAAUGUUCUAAGGAGACUGCCCGAGUAAUUGGGAGGAAGGUGGGGACGACGUCAAAUCAUCAUGCCUCUUACGAGUGGGGCAACACACGUGCUACAAUGGACGGUACAAAGAGAYGCAAUACGGCGACGUGGAGCAAAUCUCAAAAAACCGUUCUCAGUUCGGAUUGUAGUCUGCAACUCGACUACAUGAAGUCGGAAUCGCUAGUAAUCGUAGAUCAGCUACGCUACGGUGAAUACGUUCUCGGGUCUUGUACACACCGCCCGUCACACCAUGGGAGCUGGUAAUGCCCGAAGUCGGUUUUGUUAACUACGGAGACAACUGCCUAAGGCAGGACUGGUGACUGGGGUGAAGUCGUAACAAGGUAUCCCUACGAGAACGUGGGGAUGGAUUACCUCCUUUCUACGGAGUACACCUUAGUACAACAAGUACUGAUAACAAUGACUAAAUAUUUUUAAUGUCAUGUGCUAAUGUUUUAGUCCACUAGCGUAUAUCUAGUUUUGAGAGAAUUUUCUCUCAUGAUCUUUGAAAACUGAAUAGUUAUACAUUUUUAAUAUAACAACGACAUCAUUAAACAAAAUAAAGAUUAUGUCUUAUUUGUUUUGAUACCGAGUUAAUAAAUUUAAUUUAUUAAAAUGUCUUAAAAUACAUCAACAAUAGGUAAAUAUUGUACUUUUAAAUAAGUAAGAGUUUAUGGUGGAUGCCUUGGGUCUGGAAGUCGAUGAAGGACGUGAUAACCUGCGAUAAGCCUCGUGGAGCUGGAAAUACGCUAUGAAACGGGGAUUUCCGAAUGGGGAAACCUAACUAGAGUAAAGUCUAGUUGCUUUCUAAUGAAUAAAAUAGUUAGAUAGACGAGACACGUUGUGAACUGAAACAUCUUAGUAGCAACAGGAAGAGAAAAUAAAUAAUGAUUCUAUUAGUAGCGGCGAGCGAAAAUGGAAGAGCCCAAACCAACACAUGUUGGGGUUGUAGGACAGCCUUUUUAAGUUACAAAAUUGUAGUAUAGCAGAAAAACUUGGAAAAGUUUAGCAUAGAAGGUGAAACUCCUGUAUGCGAAAUAUUACAAUCUUAUGGCUGUAUCCUGAGUAGGGCGGGGCACGUGAAACCCUGUCUGAAUCUGCCGGGACCAUCCGGUAAGGCUAAAUACUAACCAGACACCGAUAGUGAACUAGUACCG